UCUCGGCUUAUCACCGGCAGUCCCCCUAGAGUGCCCAACUGAAUGAUGGCAACCAAGGGCGAGGGUUGCGCUCGUUGCGGGACUUAACCCAACAUCUCACGACACGAGCUGACGACAGCCAUGCAGCACCCGUGUUCCCGUUCCCUUUCGGGCACAGCCGGAUCUCUCCAGCCUCCAGGACAUGUCAAGGGUAGGUAAGGUUUUUCGCGUUGCAUCGAAUUAAUCCACAUAAUCCACCGCUUGUGCGGGUCCCCGUCAAUUCCUUUGAGUUUUAACCUUGCGGCCGUACUCCCCAGGCGGCAUACUUAACGCGUUAGCUCCGGCACGAACCAAAUGAAUGGCUCACACCAAGUAUGCAUCGUUUAGGGCGUGGACUAC
rnacentral:misc_RNA from 1 species